AUAUUCAGGUGUGGAUCUGCAGCUGGAUACAUGAAUCUGGAGUCCAGUGCAGAGCUUGGAGCUAGGGACAUAAAUUUGAAAGCUGUUGGAUUCUAGAUGGUAUUUAAAUCCGUAAGACUGAAUGACUUCAUAUAGGAAAUGAGUAUAGAUAGAGAAGUGAAGUAGUCUAAAGACCAAUCCUCAGAUUUAAACAUUUAGAACUUAAACAUUUAGAGUUUGGAGAGAAGAGAAGAAGCCAGAAAAAGAAACCAAAAAGGAUUAACAAGUGAAUUCAGCUAAGAUGAAGACUGAGAAAGGACCCCUGGAUUUACAAUGUGGAUGUCUUGACAAUUACUACGGUACCCCAAAGCCGCCAGCAGAACCAGCACCAUUAUUGUUAAAUGUAACAGACCAGAUACUUCCAGGAGCCACUCCAAGUGCUGAAGGAAAACGGAAGAGGAAUAAAUCAGUGAGCAACAUGGAGAAAGCCAGUAUAGAGCCUCCUGAGGAGGAAGAGGAAGAGAGGCCUGUAGUCAAUGGAAAUGGAGUAGUAGUAACACCAGCACAGUGUCUCUGCCCUGCCUUCAUGUUCUUCACAUUCUUCACAUUCACCAGACACCAGAUUUCAAAGAAGACUGAGAAGCAUGUUCCUAGCCAGGUGCGGAGGCUCAUGCCUGUAACCCCAGCACUUUGGGAGGUCAAGGCAGGCGGAUCACUUUCAUAGGAGUUUGAGACCAGCCUGGGCAACAUGGCAAAACCCCAUCUCUGCAAAACACACACACACACACAAAAAUUAGCCAGGCAUGGGGCACACACCUGUAGUCCCAGCUUCUUGGGAGGCUGAGCUGGGAGAAUCACCUGAGCCCAAGGAGGUCAAGUUGCAGUGAGCCAUGAUGGUGCCACUGCACUUCAGCCUGGGCAACAGAGUGAGACCUCGUCUCAAACAAACAAAAAGAGAGAGAGAAACAUGUCACUUAAAUUUUAGUUAACGCUGCCCUAUAUCAACUAACUAUAGUAAUAAUUAAUAUCAGACUUCAAUUCAGAGCAUAAAUAUUAUAAUCAAUGAGGCACAUUUGGAGAAUAUAAAAAGCAUAUUGAGGUAACAUUAUUCCAUUACAAAGGAAUAUUGAUAAUAGUAAUAAGCAAUAAAAUAAUUCACUUCUUUUGAAUGCUUACCAUGUGUUAGGAGCGGCCUAACCUCAUUAUAGGUAUUAGUUCAUUUAAUUAUCUUAACUGUCCCGUUAACUAGGUACUACUUCACAGAUUAGAAAACUGAGAUACUUUGCCUAGUAACUGGAGUUCAUAUGUAGGAAAACUUGGUCCACAAUCCAUAUGUCUGGCUUCCAUGCUAUCCUGAGUCUUAUAUAACCAAAUACAAGCAUAAAUAUAUUUCUUAGUGAUAUAUAAACAUAUAACCACUAUUUUACCUGUAUAUCUUUCAAAGUGGCAUUAUAAAUUUCUAGUUACCAAAAACUUCAUAUUGCUUUUAUUUCCUGAAAUCAUGUACAGUGAACUUACAUCCUUCUGUGGGUAUAAAAAAUUUCUAGUUUUUAAAAUUCUGUGCAUGUACAAGCAUCAAAUCUACCAAUAUUUGGCUUUGUAUAUAUUUAACCAAAACUUUGCUCU
rnacentral:sRNA from 1 species